UACGUAGGGGGCAAGCGUUGUCCGGAAUCAUUGGGCGUAAAGAGCGUGUAGGCGGCUCGGUAAGUCCGCUGUGAAAGUCCAGGGCUCAACCCUGGAAUGCCGGUGGAAACUGUCGGGCUAGAGUCCGGAAGAGGCGAGUGGAAUUCCUGGUGUAGCGGUGAAAUGCGCAGAUAUCGGGAGGAACACCUGUGGCGAAAGCGGCUCACUGGACCACAACUGACGCUGAGGCGCGAAAGCGUGGGGAGCAAACAGG
rnacentral:rRNA from 1 species